UCAACAGUACUACAGUGAAGGUUAAAAGUUGUGCUCCAGCUGUCUGUCCAAGUGGAUCCAUCAACCUUGGCAUUGGAAAAGGCUCUUCUCUGUGCUGUAACACUGAUCUCUGUAAUGCCCAAGAUGCUCCAGAUCCCAGCACUAACGCUCCCAAUGGAAAGACGUGUUACUCUUGUGAUGGACAGAGCUGCUUAAACACAGUGAGCUGUUCAGGGACUGAAGACCGCUGCUUUAAUGCAACAGCGAGUUUCGGAGGUCAACCAGUGGCUGUUAAA